CGUUCUCCUUAAAUAACGAUAGGGUUACAUCAUCGAUCAACCACACUCCCAGUGGAUGGAACGCGAGGUUAAAAAUGAAACUGCCAGUCAAGAGCUAAAGGCGGUUUGGGAGAACAUGUUCUCAGACACCGCGGGGUUGGUUUGCGGUGACUGCUCCUGAUGACCAUGCCAGAGUCACCACUGUGAUGGGAAAGGAAGACAGAUGUGGCAUUCCCCUCAGGGGAAGAAGCUCUUCAGGCAACUGGGACUUUCAGUGGCGUUUCUCUGGGUCCUGAACAACAUCUGGGCCAGCAAGAUGGUUAAGCUGGGGAGCACCCUUGCCACCUGAAGACCUGAGUUCCUUUCUGAGACCCACGGUGGAAGGAGAGAACCAGCUCCCUCCUGAAACCU